AGGGAUUCCAGAUUGUUAUAAAGGAUUUGCCGCGUUAGGUUUUCUGGGAUUGUUAUGUUCGCCUGAGCGAGAGCGAGACAGAGAGAUGGUUAAGAUGGUGAAGAGGAUGGUGGAGGAGAGGAGAGGACGGCUAGGGUUUGUCGAAGAAAAACAACAUCGCAAGCGAAGUCGCCCUGUUCCUGUCCCCUCGUCGGGUCCUGCUCCUCUGCGUCGAUCCACGCGCCUGAACCCUAACCGUGACGCCGUCGAGAUCCGCAACGACGAUCCCGAGAUGCAAAUGGGAAUUCAUCCAAAAGAUUUGCACGAAUAGUAUUUCAACUCUUACCCUGACUCUGAGGAGGAUUGCAUCCCCUACUAGAAAAAGUAUAAAAAGAAUGAGAUCUUGACCAAAGAGGAUUGCGUCCGCUACCACCUAAACCCUGAUGUGUAUGUGGGUCACCGCCCGCCUAGGCCCUUUAUUUGUGGUUCGACUCGAUCAUUUGCAGUAAGCGACGAAGAUGAAUUCGAAGAUUGCAAACAAUAUUCGCAGCUCGCAAUAGACGAAUACCACCGUCGCCUCAAGAAUGAAAAUCCACAACUAGAGUUUGUGGAGCUUUUGACAGCAAGGUAUAAGCUUUCCGAUAUAGUCAGGUAUUAUAUAACCUUUGAGGCCAAGGAUAUUGCUGCUGGAGGCCAGACUAAGACCUAUCAAGCUGUGGUGCGUAUACCCUUCAAGUGGGAUGGUGAUGUCUCCGUGUUGUGUUUCAGGGAGUGUGAGCAAGAGCAAGGUUCAGGCAAUAUACAUGGUAAAGAAUGGUGUUGGGAAGUUCACACUGCUGUGAGGCCCUAUUUAGAGGAGUAUCCAUCGGACGAGUACCCAUCGGAGGAGGAGAUUGUUGAAGAAGAUAUCUAAUUAUCCAAGCCUAAAUAGAAGAAUAUUAGUACAAGCCUCAACCUCACCUGUAUAGUUUUUUUAUGUGUACUGAUUUAUAUGCUAGCAGGAGUUUCAUGAUUGAAGUGGUCGGCAUUAUGAUGUGCUUCCCUAUAUACAUAUAUUUCUAGUUGUAGGAUUUUGUUGGGCCAUUGUAGUUGCAGAGACUACUGUGACUCUGUAAGGCCUCAUAAAGCGAAGGAUCUAUCAAAACCACGUCUUGAUUUAUCUAUAUAGGAGUUAAUGAACUUUUGUCUUCAAGAAGAAAAAAUAGUUUUUGAGCUUCCAGCAGCUUUUGAAUGGGUAAAAAAAAAAUGGACUUAGAAGUAAAGACGAGUAUCCCACAACUAUAAUUAACUUAAUUAUAAGUUCAUGGGAUACUCGUCUUUACUUUGGAGUCCAUUUUUUUCACCCAUUCAAAAGCUGCUGGAAGCUCAUACCCAUAAACUAUUAACUCCAAUAUGGAUAAAUCACGGCGUGGUUUUGAUAAGACCUUUCGCUUUAUGAGCCCCUACAAUAGUCUCUGCAGCUGCAGCUGCUAUGGUGCAACAAAAUCCCACAACUAGAAAUAUAUGUAUAUAUUUAAUUUUUGAAAAAUUAUAACAUAACUAAAAUAUUAAAUCUUGCACGACUUACCUUUGCUUAACAAUAUAAGGGGGAAGCACAUCAUAACGUAGACCACGCCAAUCAUGAAACUCCUGCUAGCAUAUAAAUCAAGGGAGCCCCUACUGUGCGGUCAGACAUCAAAAGUUGCAUUUUGCAGCAUCCAAUCUCAUUGU